UACGGGGGGGGGUAAGCGUUGUUCGGAAUUACUGGGCGUAAAGGGCUCGUAGGCGGCCAACUAAGUCAUACGUGAAAUCCCUCAGCUUAACUGGGGAACUGCGUGUGAUACUGGAUGGCUUGGAUUUGGGAGAGGGAUGCGGAAUUCCAGGUGUAGCGGUGAAAUGCGUAGAUAUCUGGAGGAACACCGGUGGCGAAGGCGGCUUCCUGGACCGAUACUGACGCUGAGGAACGAAAGCUAGGGGAGCAAACAGG
rnacentral:rRNA from 1 species